rnacentral:rRNA from 1 species
ACGUAGGAGGCGAGCGUUAUCCGGAUUUACUGGGCGUAAAGCGCGUGCAGGCGGUGCGAUAAGUCGUGCGUGAAAGCUCCCAGGCUUAACCGGGAGAGGACGUGCGAGACUGUCGGACUAGAGGCAGGUAGAGGCAGGCAGAAUUCCGGGUGGAGUGGUGAAAUGCGUAGAGAUCCGGAGGAAUACCAGUGGCGAAGGCGGCCUGCUGGGGCCUUUCUGACGCUGAGGCGCGAAAGCGUGGGGAGCGAACGG